AACUCCAGGGGUCGGUGAUAGACAGGGAGGCCUGGUGUGCUGCGGUCCAUGGGGUCACAAAGAGUUGGACACGACUGAGCGACUGAACUGAACUGAACUGAAACCCCAUCCGCUGUGCCCAAACCAGCUCCUCCCAUGCUCCCUCUAUUCACCUAGCUUCCUUGGCCAGAAACCUGCACAUCUUUCUCAAAUCUCUGUCCUUAGUUUCCCACAUCUAAACAAUCAAAAAGUCAAAUGGAUUCUAUGCCCUGUUAGCCUCUCUGGAAGCUGUGCCUUCCUUUUUAGGAAGUAGAACACAGUGGCAAGAGCAUGGCCUUUAGGGUUGGGCAGACCUGGGUCAAAAUCCUGUCUUUGUUACUUAUUGGCUAUGUGACUUCAGGCAACUCUCUCUUAAUUUACCCAAGGUUUAAUUUCCUUAUCUACAAAAUGGGAAUAAUAGCCUACUUUGGAGAGUUGUGAGGAUUAGAAACAAUGAUGUAAAUACCUAGUGCUGUGCUUGUCCCAUGGUAACACUUAAUGGCAGUAUUCAUCAUAACGAUGAUAAUUAUUAUUUCUGGCUUCUCUGUUAGUGCUCUAAUCUAGGACAUCAUCUUCUCUCUCCUGGACCAUUGCAUCAGUCUCCUCACUGAACUCUCUGCCUUCAUUCUCCAUUACCACCCCCUGAAAUCUGCUUUUCACAGUUGUUGGGGAGAUUUUUCUAAAAUGCAAAUCUGAUCUUGCCUACUUAAAACUCUUCUCUUUCCUGUCCCACCUACCUUUUGCUUCACCCACUCUCAUGGGUCUCUAAGCAUCACUGUGUUCUACUGGGUUUCAUUCAAGCAGGUACCUCUGCCUCUGCCUGAACAUCUUCUUUCUCCCCCUCCCCUCACUCCUUUCUGGCAGAUCCUCACCCUUCACACCAUUGCCAGUGUCUGCCACCCCUCCAUGGAUGUCUGUUUAUUUGGAGUUCAACUACAAGCUCCUUGAGGGUAGGGAGCAGCUCUGAUGUUUCUUUGUGGCCCCUGUCUGCCAGCAAAGGGCUUUGUGUAGAGAAGGAACAAACAGAAUAUCAGUAGAGACUUGCCCAAGGUCCCAGAAUGGUUCAGCAGCAAGGCCAAGGCUUAAACCUAGGCCCCUUGUCUUCCUACCCAGGGCUCUUUCUUCUAGGCACGUCAUUUUGCCUCAGCAGAGAGAAUAGCCCAGGGCUGACAGCUUGGGAUGGGGGAUCUCCCCCUGGGAGGACAGCAGGCUAUCCAAGGCCACCACACACCCAUCUCAGUGCUGCACCCGACUGUGGGGGAAGGAUAAAAUUAUCCACUGCCCACGCCCUCUAUCUCCCCAUCCGACAUGACUGGAGAUAAAAAAUGAGUGACACAAAAUCCAAUCUUCCUCGGUGCAGAGGCUGGCGGGAGAGCGGCAGGGGUGGGACUGGCAGCCCUAGCAGCCCCUCCUCGCCAAGCACAUCUCAUAUUUAUUGGCUCAUAAUUGAAGGCAGCCUGGAGACGUCCCCACUCCGGCCCCGGCAAGACAGAUGGGAGCACUGUGACGGCUGGGGAUGGAGUCAGGGCACAGACUUCCUCACAGGUCUGCAGCCAUGGAGGCGGCACACAGCAGGGGAAGCAGCUAGUUGGCUGCUGCCCUGGCCCCAGGGGUCUGACCCAGGCCCGAGGUCUUGCUUCUGCCAUCCACUUCUGAUGAUCUUGGGUCAGAUUCUUCCUUCUCCAGGCCCAGGGUUUCAGGCUUCUGGGUUUUAUUACCAGGGUAUGCGAGAGCUAUUCUGGGAUUUGGGAAGAUCUGGGCUACUACCUUGCUGUGUGGCUUUAGGUGGUUCUCUUUGCCUCUGAGCUAUGUGCUUUCUCCUUGUAAAAGACUGAGGGGGUUGAGUUGGACUAUAGGCAGCCUUUAAGUAUCAGCACUGGAAGACUUCCUGUUGUAGGAAGGCAAAAAAAACCAAAACAAACAAAAAAAAAAACUGCUGAAAUGCUGCCAAAUAUGAAGAAGCUGCUCUGGCCCCGGAUGCUCCACAUACCUGGGCCUGGCUUGGUGUCUGAGGCCCGAGGAGACUGCAGAGUCUAGUUUCACCUCUGUAAUUUGUGUCGCUGUGGGAGAGGGGCUGGGGCUGGCUGCCAGGCACCUGGGUUCUGACCAGUGUCCCCACCCUCCUGCUGCUCCUGACCUGGGCCAGGGCUUUGACGUCUUCAGGUUUCAGAUUCCCCACCUGGAAGAUUUCUGUUCAUGCUCACCCCACCUCGCAGGGUAAGAGAGCCUAGCAGGAUGGACUCAGGGAGGGGCAGAUGCUUCUACUGGUUGAGCUUAUACCCUCAUGGCUGGUUUGGUUCUGUCAGGGUUUGCAGUUCUCUGAACUUUACCUGACUGAGGUACAGGGUGGGGUAGGAUUUGCCCAGUUGCCCCAGAAUGUUAGGAAUUCAAGGUCCCAGGUCCCCAUCCAGGAGCCUGCCCAGCAUACCACAUUCCACGCUGUGACAUGAGGUGAUGAGCCGGGGACUUGCACAGAAGUUUUGCAGAGACAGACAGGAGCGUCUGCUGAGUAGGGCUUGUACUCAGUGAAGUGGGAUGGACAUAGCCUGCCCUGCAGGAGCACAAAGUCCAGAAAGAGGACCACAGGAGGAACAUGGUCAAAAUGGAAGCGUGUCAAUCUAACAGCUGAAGCAGCCUACUCAAGAUGCAGAAUCAAGAAUCUGUUAAAAAAAAAACUUCUAUGAACACAAUGCAGAGCAUCACUUUGGAGUAAAGGAGUUGGCAGAGCAGAACUGAGACAGAGGCCUCCUUGCCUCGGCUUCUACUUGUCUGUGGACCUGGGGUCUGGCCAGGAGGAGUGAGAUGCAAGUGACCAGCUCUGCUUCCAGGCCCGCAGUCCUAAGAGCUCUGCCAGGAGCCACAAACCAUGGGUGCCUCAGGGAGGGUGAGGUGGCCUGUUUGACAUUUGGCUAAGAUUUACAGAGGACUGUUUGCCCCAGGGCUUGAAGGAUGAGCAGAAGUGUGUGAUGGAAAUGCCUCUGUGAGGGCAAGACUUCGGCAGUGACACCCUGCCAGGGCAGUGGCACAGACCAUGCCUCCGGAACCAUGGGACAGCUAGAGCAAUUUGAGCAGAGACACCAAAAUUAACUGCCCACGGGGAAGCCAGGUGAGAACACAAGUGCCUAUAAUAUGGGCAAAGAUGGGGAUGGGUGUCAGCCAGAACAGGUGCAGGGAAGGAACUCAGCAGUCAUUUUCCAAGUUCCAGGUCUGCCUUGGUGCAGCGGGGUCUCCUGGGGCCUCAUUACACCAGUCAGCACAGAGCACACACAUGACGCCCUCCCAAGGCCUCUCCUUCCUCGGGGAGUCUGCAGAGUUCCUUUCCUGUCUGGAACAAGUAACAGGGGAGUUGGGGUGGAGUGAGAUGAGGAUGUGGGGACCCGGAUUUCUAGGAAUUAAUAAGUGCCCUUCUAUGAGAUUCGGUUCCCCUCUGGAGGCCAAUUAGGGCAUCUGGAAGCUUGGGAGGUGGGGAGAAGGGAGGUAGGAGUGUAUGUAUGCUUGAGGCAGGCCCAUCCAUCCUGUGUCCUGAGAUCUGAGGGCAGAGUAGACCUCAGGGGUACCCUGUUCACUUACAAGAAAAGUGCAAGUGUGAAGAUAAUCACAGAACUGUUUUCAUCAUCUAAGAACAGAACUUCAAUGUUGUACUAUAAGAAGUAUAGUAUUGCCCCCACCUCCAUAACAUUGUCCUAUAGUGAGCGCUCGUUAGGGGCCAGGCCCUAGGCUAGCCUAGGUUCGUUCAUGAUCUUCCAGCAAUGCACAGUGGUUCCAGUUUUCCCACACCCUUGCCAACACUUGUUUUUGUUUGUUUGUUUGAUAAUAGCUUUCUGAUGGGUGAACUGGUAUUUCUUUAAUUUGUAUUUCCCUGAGUGUGUGCACACAUGUGCACACACACACACACACAAUAAUUAGUGACAUUGAGCAUUGUUUCAUGGACUUUAGGCCAAUUGUAUAUCUUCUUUGGAGAAAUGUCU